GGGGAGAGUCUUAGAAUCCCCGCGAGAUAUUGUGUGAAUAGCGGCGUCUUUGGCCGGGCGAAGCGGUUCGUGAAUC
ncrna:unclassified sequences L13-Bacteroidia ribosomal protein leader